rnacentral:rRNA from 1 species
GACGUAGGGGACGAGCGUUGUCCGGAUUCAUUGGGCGUAAAGCGCGCGUAGGCGGUUUGGUAAGUCGGAUGUGAAAACCAGAGGCUCAACCUCUGGCCUGCAUCCGAUACUGCCCGACUAGAGGUAGGUAGGGGAGAUCGGAAUUCCUGGUGUAGCGGUGAAAUGCGCAGAUAUCAGGAGGAACACCGGUGGCGAAGGCGGAUCUCUGGGCCUUACCUGACGCUGAGGCGCGAAAGCUAGGGGAGCAAACAGGAUUAGAUACCCUGGUAGUCCUAGCCGUAAACGUUGGGUGCUAGGUGUGGGAGGACAUCGACCCCUUCCGUGCCGAAGCUAACGCAUUAAGCACCCCGCCUGGGGAGUACGGCCGCAAGGCUAAA